GGGGCAAUCCCCGGGUGAGAGCACGGUUCUGGCACCGCAGCCGCCUGUCCCCGUCCCUGCCGCCGACCCCCCCUUGCUCCGCGCUGCAGCCCUGGCACCGGCGGCAGGCCAGGCUGCCCGAUGCCGUCAGCGCUGAUGCAAAAGGGAAACGUGCUGAGGGGCUGCGCGGUGACACGGGGCUCUGAGCUUCCUUCGGAGCUCCGCGUUCAAGCAAUGGUCUGAAGGAGUUUGGCCGGGGCUUUUUGUUUCGUUGACCUUGAGAGUUCGCAGUGCGAAAGCGGCUGGCGAACGCCCAUAAGAAGUCGUCUGCGGUGGUCUCUGUAGCUGGUCCUCACAGAGAAGGAAACGGCUCGAAAAUCCUGUACCCAUCGUGCUACCGCACGUGCAGUUACAUGGGCUUCCUAACGCACAGACAGCACUGACGCUGUCGAAACAAUGCUGGAAGUUAAACAGGUUAAAAAAUAUAUUGCAGUGUAGAUCUCUGAUUCCACAUGGCACAUUGCUAAUUACUGUAUCCUUCGUUACACCGCUUGGCUGUGGUAGCUGCCUCACAAGGCGUGUGCUUUUCCUGUCUGAUACGCUGCUGAUUCCACGUGUGUAGAUUGUCUCUCCCUUAACACACAGUUCACAAACUUCCUCCUUGUGGCUGCUAUUAAGAUAAAAGUAAGUACAGAAAAGAAUAUGGAUAUUUUAACUUGCUCUUAACGUUUUAGUCACUAGUGUUCAAAGGUGUUUGCACUGUGAUUCUGUGAUACAUCCUAACUGUGCUAAUUGUUACCGCUUUGUUAAGAUGAAAUCCCAUUUUUCUUCAGUGCUCAGAUUCCCAAGCCCAGUUUCUUACAAUCCCUCCUAAUGUAAAAAAGCAAGUGGCGACAGAUUGAUUACACGCAGGAUCUUAUUAUUAAGCAGAACAGAAAAGAAAGGAAUUUCAAAAUAUAGUCCUCUGUUCCCAGGAGUAUUUGUCUUGUUCUCCACGAAGUUAAAGGUCUGAAAUAAUGUGCCCAUCAGGAGCUCAAUGUUGCAUGUCCGUGCCAGUUGGUCCAAGGGCUUGUUAUGAUGGUAAUGACCUGCUGAAACGUGAGCUUUGAUGGCAACAAUACAAUUGCUACCAGCUCACCCGCUGGGAGAAAUAUUUUAUUAUUGUCAAAUGCCCUCCGCAGAGAUUUGUUUUGCCUGUUCCUGUUUAAAUUAAAUUCAGAGCAGAACUGCAUUAUUAUUUCUCUAGAGUAUAUUUGAAAUAAACAACUAGUCUCCAAAUUUAGGAUUCCUGGU
rnacentral:lncRNA from 1 species